rnacentral:rRNA from 1 species
UACGAAGGGGGCUAGCGUUGUUCGGAAUUACUGGGCGUAAAGGGCGCGUAGGCGGUGUGUCAAGUCAGGCGUGAAAGCCCCGGGCUCAACCUGGGAACAGCGCUUGAGACUGGCACGCUCGAGUUCGGGAGAGGAUGGUGGAAUUCCCAGUGUAGAGGUGAAAUUCGUAGAUAUUGGGAAGAACACCGAUGGCGAAGGCAGCCAUCUGGACCGACACUGACGCUGAGGCGCGAAAGCGUGGGGAGCACACAGG